rnacentral:tRNA from 1 species
ACCUGGCUGGCUCAGUGUUAGAGCAUGCAACUCUUGAUCUCAGUGUCAUGAGUUCAAGCCCCAUGUUGGGUG